UUUAUAUUUUUUAUACAAAACAUUUAUAUUUUUUAUAUAAUACUGAAUACUAGCCAGUAGUCGUUCGCUAGGAACAUUAUUUUGAGACAACUCUACAAAACAGAAAAAUUAAAAAAGUGAUUGCACAGCUAUUGUAAUUUAAAGGGUUUAAAUUUUUUUUUGUAAUGAACAAACUACGCAAAAAAUCAACGCUUCUAAAUAAUCGUUCGGAUUUUGUUAAUUUUUCUUCGUUGUCUAUCAAAUCAACAUUUUCCUAUUAAGGCCCUUGACUUUGAAGGCGUUGACAGGCCUUUGAAUAUAAAAGCUCGAGUUAAAUGGCCUUGUUACACAUCAUGGAUGAAGAUCUAGCCGAUAGAAGGUUUGGACACCGCUAUGGUAGAAGAGGUGACUCCGAGCGGGAACUCGAGUUGGAGCCAAUGACUUAACUGCGUGAUAGCGAUAUAGAAGUCUCUGAUGCUUGUCCAAGUUUUUCAAAAGAUAAUGACGAGUUACUAUGUUGUGAGCUAUGGAUUUUAUCAUCGCCGAUAAGUCCAAGUGAGAAUUCAUGGGGAGAUAGCUGACUAGUUCCUGGGAUCAACCGCUUGUUGUUGGUGGCCUUGGGUGCAGUGGAAAAUUUGGAAAUGAGCGUAAUGUAUUUAUAGGACUUUAUGCACAAAUGGUUAUCAUAACAAAAUCUUCAUAAACUGUUUUUGGCAAGCUAUGAAUGUUACAUUUGUUGCUACUCUCUUCAGUUGUAAAUCAUCAACUACUGCUGCUACUACCAUAGAAUCAGCCACUGUUGUAUUUGAGUCUUAACAAGCUCUACAAUCUGUUUAUCGCAGAAUUAUUUGUUUAUGCUCAGUUUUCUUAUUAGCCCAUUAUUAUUGUUAUUUAUCGGUCCACACAAAGUGCAGUAUAAAUUAGUACAAUAACAAAAGUUGGGUUAAACCAAUUAUAAAAUCCAAGGGCGGAUCUAGAAACAAAAAAAAGAGGGUUAGAAAAAAAAUCAAAGAAAGAGUAUAUUUAAAGUCCUGAGUAAAAAUGUUUAUUAUAAACUUUAUUAGGUAAUUAAUUAACAAUUUUGUAUAUAAGUGUGUAAUGAAAAAUA